rnacentral:tRNA from 1 species
UGAUGUAUAGCUCAAUGGUAUAGCAUUUGCCUGGUAUGCAUGAGGCCCUGGGUUCAAGCCCUAGCACCUCAA